GCCCGGCUCGUCUGCGCUUGUGCGAGUGCUGGGAGGAGGCAGCCGUGCUCCGUCCGCUUUUGUGUGGUUGUACAGAAGUGCUGCGGUUGGGAGGAGGAGGUGGUGGAGGUGGAGGGAACAGCUGCUCCCCACACAGAAGCCGGUUUCCCAGCCUCACAGGCAGCGCGAGGCAGGCUGUUUUCCCCGGGGCCCUCGGGUUGCUUCACCAGCCUCCGCAGCUCCGGAGAUUUUUUUAUAGCUUGGCCGAACACGAAACGGACCAGAACAAGUCGGAUUCUUUUCGUCACAAGGCCUGACGCUCGUGCUUCUCUCACAAAAACUCCCAAGCAGAUAUGGAUACGUCUCCACUGGAGCUCCACCAGGUUUCUGUCGGCCGACGGGACUCCAGUGGAACCUGCGGACGCUCCGAGCGGAAGAGCUUUUAACCCGGCCGGCAGAAGACGCGCACAGACUGACGCAGGUGCUCCAUUUACCUGUACUAGAAAACACUGAGUGUGCAGAGCUCAUGAUGUUGAUUUCAGUUUGCAG
rnacentral:lncRNA from 1 species